AACUUCUUGUUUAUGGCCAUGAGCAAGCCCAAUCUUGUCUGAUCUUGGAAGCUAAGCAGGGUCAGGCCUGGUUAACACUUGGAUGGGAGACCACCUAGGAAGAUCAGGUGCUGUAGAUG
rnacentral:rRNA from 1 species